AUGCAGCCGGGAACAGGGCGGGGCGGGGGGGGGGCGUGUUCAUUUGUUUAUUUGCUUAUUGUCUUUCUCUCUUACUGGAAUGUUAGUGUCAUUAGCAGGGUCUGUGGCUUUUCUUAUCUCCCACGGUAUCCUCAGCCUCUGGAACAACACCUGGCCCGUAGGAGGAAUUCUAGAAGUGAUUGCUGCAUAGGUAAAAGUUUGCAUGAAGACCCUUUGAGCUGCCCCUUCUAAGCCUGGAGAGUUUCUAAAAGAUGCAGAUUUUCUGGGCUCCAGCACAGAUCCACUGAAUCUACUGCUCCAGGAGGAAGGGGCCCAGGUAUCCAUCCUUUUGAAGUUUCCCUGGUAAAUGUGAUGACAAGCCACAUUUGGAAGAUCACUUUGGACAGGCAGGUCUUAAUCUUUUGAGGGUUAUUAGCCCCUUUGAGAUGCUAGGGAGUCUAUGCGCAUCAGAUCCAGAAAAAAAGCCGUCUAGGCACAACACUUCGUGUACAUUGCCAAGGAGAGCCUAGACAUCGUAGGGUAUUUAUGGAGGGCCCGGAAUUCCCAAUGCGCAAGUCCAAACUGAAAGAACACCAGGUUCAUCUUGCUUCUAGAGAGCAAAACCCUAGAGCUUUUUCUCUCUCAACUUCUCUUUGUACCCUGGAUUCGAGGACCUUUUCAAGAGCUGCCUGUUUAAGUGCAGUUGGGGGUAAGUGGCUACAAAAAGGACCUGCACGGUCUGAAGACAAAUUGAGUCUCUGACUCCAAAUCCUUCUUUUGUAGGCUCGAAUGGUCUCGAUGGAAUCCACCCAAGAAAAGCCACGGGGCAGCAUGGAAGGAACUGUGGAAGGGAACCCAAGACUCCUGAGCUCCAGUCUUAGCUUGGAUACCAAUUUCCUAUGUUCUUCGUGAGCCACUUCCCCUUCGUAAGCCUCAUUUUCUAUAUUUCUACGUAUUUCCAUAUGUUUUGUUUAUUCUCAACUAUAAGGUCAAGGAGUAUGCCAGAAGAACUCAAAGAUUCCUUCCAGCUCUUUGAGUCUAGGAUUCUUUUCUGGAAAUUUUACACUGAACCUCACACGGCAGAACACAUGGAAAUAUGCAUGUGACAAAUGGAUGGGCCAAGGGUCCCUUGCAGUUUGCCUCCUGAUGCGAUAUGGCUUUCUGUCUUUAGAAACUGAUGUUUCAGGAUAAGUAUUCUUGCUAGGAAUUCCUUAGGUAUUCUACUAGUCACUGUGGUUAGAAAGACAAAGUCCUGUGUGGUCCUAGAAGCUAUUUACCCAUAGCCAGCUACCCUUUGCCAGCUUCCCAAACUCAGGCAGACUUUAGCUGAAGAGAAGAAAGAAACUUCCACAUCCCUAGCAACUGUGGUUACUACUGGUUGUCUUUAACGAAACAGAGAGAGAGCACUUGUGUGUGCCCAAGCUUUAAACGCCAAACACUGUCUUAGAUUCAGUCCCCUUCGAUGGGACCCUCCAUGCCUCCACUGCAAAAGAAGAUUGUUUUCUUUCUUGCUUUUUUUGGGGUCUUUUUUGUCUUUUUAGGGCCACACCCACGGCAUAUGGAAGUUCCCAGGUGGGGGGUCCAACGGGAGACGUAGCCGCCGGCCUAGGCCAGAGCCACAGCAACAUGGGGUCCAAGUCACGUCUGCGACCCACACCACAGCUCAUGGCAACGCCGGAUCCCUAAUCCACUGAGUGAGGCCAGGGAUUGAACCCGUGUCCUCAUGGAUGCUAGUUGGAUUCACUAACUGCUGAGCCACGAUGGGAACUCCAAGAUUGUUUUCUUGAAGUCCCCGACCUCCACCAUCUGGAGAAGAAUAAAAGUUCACUAUUAUGAAGUUCA
rnacentral:lncRNA from 1 species